CUACGGGGGGUGCAAGCGUUAUUCGGAAUUAUUGGGCGUAAAGGGCGCGUAGGCGGCUUGGUAAGUCAGAUGUGAAAGCCCGGGGCUUAACCCCGGAACUGCAUUCGAAACUAUCAGGCUUGAGUAUGGGAGAGGGAAGUGGAAUUCCUGGUGUAGAGGUGAAAUUCGUAGAUAUCAGGAGGAACACCGGUGGCGAAGGCGACUUCCUGGACCAAUACUGACGCUGAGGCGCAAAGGCGUGGGGAGCAAACAGGAUUAGAUACCCCAGUAGUCC
rnacentral:rRNA from 1 species